CUAAUUUUUUGUAUUUUUAGUAGAGAUGGGGUUUCACUAUGUUGGCCAGGCUGGUCGCAAACCCUGACCUCAGGCAAUCCACCUAUGUCUGCCUCCCAAAGUGCUAGGAUUACAGGUGUGAGCUACCAUGCCCGGCCUGAUGAACUUCUUUCCAUAAGAAUUUUAAAGUAACAAAAUAAGCGCAAAAGUGAAACAAUUGAAGGAUAUUUAAUGCAAAGUUAGCAUCCCACCCCCUUCACUCCCACACCCUAGAGUCACCAGUAUUUGCUGUUCUCCUAUACAUUUAAUCGUUGACACUUUAUAUACAGC
rnacentral:lncRNA from 1 species